UAGAAAAUGGCAGCCCCCACACGUGAGAGCUGUACUUUGCAAGCCACGGGACACUGUAUCCAACCCUAGUGCAGGGCGUCACUGUGGAUCACUGACUUGUCGGGAUCUGGUAUCACACUGGGUGAACCACACCCCUGGAGGUGAAUGGUUUGGAUGCUCCAAGCACUGAGUUCUUUCAGCUCUAGCCCUCGGGGUGAGCGCCCAUUCACUGUGAUAACAUGGAGGAUAACUAGGGCUGAAGAGGUAAGGUGCAAAGACACUCAGCACAGUUGCUUUAGUCACAGGCAAAAGAGAUGAUAAAUGAUCAGCUCAGCAGCUCCUAACUCAGAGUCCCCAAGGCCGAGAACAACCCAAUACGAGGUGAUGAAGGAAAGAGUCUUGGUGUAACCUCUCUACCUGAUGUACCCCUGGCAGCAGCUCGUGCUUGUCCCUUGCCAGCGACAGGCUGUGAUUUGAUCCCGCCUUCCAGCCUCAGCUCUCCAGCUGCCUGGACUUCUUUCAACAGUCAGUUCCUCCCACAGGGCCCUCAGCUCUCUUCUGAGCCAGGUCCCCCAGUGACCUCCUCCUUCCCACUCCUGUGCUGGACUCUAGAAGGAUUAGAGAGCCGUCUGCUGGCUGAAUGUUGAACUGGGUGGUAAGAGGUGCCCAGGAGUUUCAUGCUCAACCCUACAUGAACUUUUUCUCCACAGACAGGCUAUCUGCAUAUGAUGAAAGGCAAUUCAAUGCAGAGUUGUUAACCAGAGCCCCAAGACCUUAAUUUAACCUUGCAAAACACGCAGUAAAUCCCCAUCGGAUCUGCUUUCGGUUUCUAUCUCACCGGUUUCCUGGUUCCACUUUCUUUUGAAAGCUUUGCUCUUUGUCCUCCCACAGCACAGCCAGGGCAUCAGUGGAGAGGGAAAGCCAUGCAAAUCAUGACACAGACAAAGAAGUGGCAGCCCGAGAGAAAAUCUUGAUGACAACCUUGAAAUAUCAAAGCAUCUAAAGAGGACACUGGUAGACAAGAUUGUCACUGACUUGAAUGCUGAAGAUUUGAUGAUGGUCAAGCAGGCCUUGAUAUAUCUUGAGAGGAAUAAAGAAAGUAUCUGUGACUUCCUGAAGCAGUUUCCCGAGCAAAGAAAGAAGGUGGAAAGCUUCAUACGAUGCCUUGAGGAAAUGGUAGACACCAUGGAUGAAGUCCAUAAAAAAUGUGCCACGAUACGUACUGCAGCAAACACCAUGGGUUUUAUUUCAAGCAUUUUUAAUCUAGUAAAACAUGGGGGCCGUCUCGGUCUUGGUUGGGAGAUAUUAGGUGAUGUUGCAAAUAUUUCCAGACUUGUAUACAAAAAUCAUAACAACUUCAAGAUAGAGGAUAAAGUUAAGAAGUUGCUACAGCAAUAUGAAAACAGCCUGAAUUAUCUGAAAAUGUCCAAUGAAGAGGAUUGUGAAUUAGAAGCUUUUCAGAAGACGGAGGCCUCAUGCAACUACUUGAAUGAUUUCUUGUCUGCUGCUGGUUCAGCUCAGGGAUUAUAUAGAAACAUUACAAAGUUAAACAAAUCAACUCAACAAAAAGCUAACCCUAGUUCAAGGUCAGAAGAAAGCAGUAUCCCUAGCAGAACUAGACAGUCUAAGGCAAUGGGAAGCGGUUCAGCUGAAACACCACCUGCUGCAUCCAAAGGAAACUGGCUGGAUGCCGUAAUAGCAACACCAGCCAUCAUAAACAAAGCCUGUGUGAUUAAGACAGACGUCACACAUUUAGCUGAGGGAGGUAAGGGAGGGACUGGAGCUGAAAUAAGAAAAAUAGCUGAGAAGCUGAAAAUGAAACUUGAGGCGAUCAGUUUGCUGUAUACAGCGUAUUUGGAAUUGACAGAUAUGGCAAAUUAGCAAACUUUUAUGUAUAAAUAUACCAUUCACGGCAUACACAUGGAGAAGUUAGAUAAAAACCAAAUACUCUUGCUAGAAGGUUGCAACAUAACACGACUUUCCUUAGGGAAUGUUUACACUGAAAAGUUACAUGAGCAUAGCUACAUCCCUCAGGGGUUGGAAAAAUCCACACCCCCAAGAGACAGAGUUAAGCCAACAUCACCCCCAGUGGAGCUGAUGGCUAGGUCAAUGGAGAAUACUUCCACCGACCCAGCCACUGCCUCUUGGGGAGGUGGAUUAACUGCAGCAACGGGAGAACCCCUCCUAUGACUCUCGUGAGUGUCUACAGUGAAUCUGUGCAACUGUGCUGCGGUAGCGGUUUAAGUGUAGGCUUAUCCUUAGAAUCAUGGCAUUUAAGGCCAGAAGGCACCCUAGAUAAUCUAGUCUGACCUCCUGUAUAGCUAGGGCCCUUCGUUUUCAGUGUUUAUUCUCCCAGGAAUUUAACAGUGUUUAUUACCAUAACAACAAAAACUGGUGAAAAUCAGUGCAAAAGACUAUUCAUCAUUUUACUGGGUAAAUAUCGGAGUUUAUUUUGGUGGAUGGAAAGACAGGGGGGGGGAAGUAUUUAGUAGAUUAAUGCUUUGAAUUCCAUUAGUCAAUGUGCGUUUGCUGCAGAACUAAAACAGAACUCAAAACAUAAUGCUACCUCUGAGUUUAAGAAAACGAUAUAUCUCUAAUCCCCAAAUAAAACUUUUCAUUUGAAUAAACAAUGGACUGCUGUAGACUUAGAACUAUUAGCCUACAAAUAUUUACAUUUAAUAAUUGGGCCAUGCCAUUUGCAGUGCAUACACUCAACUUCAUCCUUUUCUCCCGUUUUUGUUUUUUUUUAAACUUUCGAAUACUUCCUUGUGUUCUGAAACAUAGUCUGUUACAGAUUUUUGUUUUCUUCCCAUUUUAGUGUAUCAAAUCUUUAAACUGUUAUCUGCCAACGGCUUGAAACAUGUACAUGGUCGACGUGAAAUUCAUCGGUACGUUCAGACGCG